UACGAAGGGGGCUAGCGUUGCUCGGAAUCACUGGGCGUAAAGCGCACGUAGGCGGAUUGUUAAGUCAGGGGUGAAAUCCUGGAGCUCAACUCCAGAACUGCCUUUGAUACUGGCGAUCUCGAGUCCGGGAGAGGUGAGUGGAACUGCGAGUGUAGAGGUGAAAUUCGUAGAUAUUCGCAAGAACACCAGUGGCGAAGGCGGCUCACUGGCCCGGUACUGACGCUAAGGCGCGAAAGCGUGGGGAGCGAACAGG
rnacentral:rRNA from 1 species